rnacentral:lncRNA from 10 species
CCCGGGCCAGGCUGAGUCACGGGUUCGCCAAGACAGCCCACAGACUAAGCACAUUUCUUCUCUUUUCCGGUCCAUAAAAUCCCCAGAAUGGGCCCCACACAGAAACAUUGAGGAUGCCAUUGGAAUUAGUGUCAAAAGUGACUUCAAUCUGAGGAACACCUCGGGGUGCAGGAGAGAGCCCCACCUGGAAGACUCUAGGUUCUCAUCUUCAUGCCCCGAUGUAAGGAGAGUGGUCCUUCUGUACAUCAGGAGUCUGAAAUGCAUCUCACUGGGCUAAAAUCAAGAUCUGUGGCACAUGGAACCACAUGUGGGACAAGAGACUAAUAAAGAUGUGACCUACUCACAGAGGCUUCAGGUGUUUUGCGAAGUACAUUGGCUUUUAUUCAACGUGCAGUGGGACUCCAACUAAAGUGUUUCAGGAAGACAACCUACAUGACAUGUUUUUCCUAAAGACAAUGCCUCCACUCCGAGUAAGUCACAGUCAAAGUAAAUGAAGAGCCCAAGAUGACAUCAGUUCCAUUUGUCGCACGGCCCUUUUGUGAUCUCCUGGUUCUUGUAAAUCUCACUGUGGCUGAUGAGGUCUGGAUAGAUAAUCAUGAUGGUGGCUGAAGAGAGACAAUGGUGGUGCUAGGUUACCAGUGGCGUGGAGCUCAGAGCUAAUGCAGAGCAGCUGGAGCAGUGCUGAGUUUCAAAACGUGUUGGAAAAAAUAUUAUAUGAAUGAUGCUAUUUUUUUCACUGAAUCACAUCAAGAAGCACAUGAUGUUAAGCUGUCUCAUCAUUGGUGGUGUUAACUUGGAUCGCUUGAUUAAGGUGAUGCCUUUCAUAUUUAUAUACUACAAAGUUAGCCCUUUUUAAUCAAUAAGUAAUCUAUUCAGAGAUAAAUGAGAACUGCAUAAAUAUCUUGGUAACAAACAAGUUUUACCCAAUAUUGUUUUCCUCCAUUGAUGAUUCUUGCCUUAAUCAAUUAUUACCAUGACAGUAGCAAAAUAGUGAUAUUUUAGUUAUCAUUUCUUGUACAUGUAUUAGUUUUACAUAGUAAACAAAAGCGUUUCCUCCUCUCAUUUUCUCUUUCUCUCCCUUCUUUCCAUCCAUUCUUCCUUCCUUUCUAUUUCUGUCUGUCUCUGUCUCUGUCUCUGUGCCUCUCUGUCUCCUUUGCCCUUCUCAUUGUCCGUUUUUAUUUAUAUUUCUUAAUGUGUGGAUUCAUAAACUAUUCUUUUCAAUUGCAUUAUAAUCUGUUACUGUCAUUUUUUAUUGUACCAGAUUUAGCGAGUAUGAGCUAACAAUUUCUAAUUUUAAUCCAACAUUUUAAAUCACAUGGUCUUCUUCAUCUUCUCUGUUUACAUAUUCGUAUUUACUUCCUUUCACAAUCAUAAUCUUGCCUCCCUCCCCCAAAGGAAUAUAUUUUCUUCUAUGGGACACCAAAGAUAAUAGAUUUUAAUUUAGUUUUAGAGUUUUCCAAAAUGUUUGUUGAUUUAAUUUUAUUUUUGAUUAUGUAUUAAUUGAACAUGCUUCCAGUUUUCAAAAUUAUAUGAAAUGAUAUAUACAGAGAAUUGCCACUCAAUCUUCUCUUCUUCCCAUAUUAUUGUCACUUCUUGCCUGUGGUUAACCAAUUUCACUGGAUUCUGGUUAUCCUUGCGUUUAUUUUUUAAAAUAUGUAAGUUAUAUGUUAUUAUAUAUGUUUUUCCCUUAAAAUUUUUCCUGAUAAUCCAUAUCGGGCCAUAGAGAUCUCCUUUAUUACUUCCUGCAUAGUAAUCCAUUGUGUAUAUAUAUUAGGUUGGUGCAAAAGUCGUUGCAGUUUUUGCAAUUACUUUUAAUGGCAAAAACUGCAAUUACUUUUGCACCAACAUACAUCGUUUAGCCCGAGAACUACUCACUCUGGGUCUCCUCUCCACUGAGGGCUGCACACAUGCCGGGAUGACCUGCCUGUGGAAAGGAGCUACAACUUCAGGUCUCCUGAGAGCUGUAGGUAGGUUAGUUUUGCAUCGUUGAUUUAAGCAAUUUUCUAUGUAUGGGCGUUUACAUGGUAUCCAAUAAUUUGUUAUAUAACACAUAAUAUCCCAAUGCAUGAAGGCACAAAUAUGUAUUUUCUUGCUGUUGGUGGUGUAUGUUGGGGGUGAAUUCCUAAAGUGAUAUUGUUUGGUCAAAAGUUAAAUGUAUAUGUAGUUUUGGGUUACUAUUGGUAACUUUCCUUCCAUAGGAUUUGUACCAUUUUGCUUUCCCAUUAGCAAUGUGUAGGAAUGCCUGUUUCCCUGUAGCCUCCCCAACAGCUUGUGUUAUCAAGAUUUUGGAUAUUUAACAAACUUGAAGGUGAGAAAUUACAUUUAUUAAUUUGUAUCUUAUUUUUAGUAAUGUUUAAUAAUUUAUAUGCUUCAGAUUAUUUUAUAUCUAUCUGAGAUUUAUCUAUUUAAUAUAUCUGAGAUUUAUCUAUUAAUGAUUCUUGCCCCAUUUUCCAUCAAUUUUUGGUCUUAAUUUAUUUUUCUUUUCAUAAUGUGAUUUUCCUUGAUUAUGUAUUACAAAUGUAUUCUAGUUUGUCUUUUUACUGACACUGCUUACAGUUGGCAUUGCUAUUAUUUUUGCUUUGGAAAGGUUUGCUAAAUGAAUUCAUUUUUAUUUUAGAGGAGUUAAAAUUUUCAGUGUUUUCUUUUAUUGUGUUGCAAUUUUGGAUCAUUAUUACAAAACAUUGUUUUUUAGAGCCAGAUUACAAAUUACCCCACAUUUUCUUCUAAUGCAUGUGAUGGCAGCAGCGGCCAAAUAGAGUAGCUGCUGCAAAGGUGCUAGCUGCAGUGGGGUAUGCAUGACUGGGACGGCUAACUCCGCGGAGCUGGCAGGAGCUGGGAACAGGCGGGAGCUCCACCCCCUUCCAAGUGGGUGGGGCAUGAGCUUUGUGCUUCUGGGUGCAACUGCAGCUGCCCAGCCACGACUGCGGACCCAGGCAUCCCUGUGGUCUUGGGGGCCCAGGAAGUCUCCCUGCCCCCGCAGGCUCAGAAGGGCCUCCUCCUGCUGCCUGGCCUCUCUCCACUCCCAGCAUCCACUCUGAUUUUGGAGGAAAGUUGUGGCCGAGCUCGGGCUCUGUCACGACCCGGCUGGGUGUGCGCACACUCAAGGCAGCACUGACAUGCCAGCCCCUUGCCGCCUCGGCCCCACUCCGUAAUUGGGACACUGACAAACAUGGGAGGGAGGUCAAGAGGGGGCUGAGGGCGGCUUUGUGUGAGCCUGCAGGCACCCCUUGGCACGAACAGCCUGGGCACCAUGAAUGGCAGCAGUAGGCAGACAGGCUCCUGGGCAGAAAGGGGCACGUCCCUGGUGAAACCCCACCUUCAAGCCAGGGAGGGCCUGAAGCCUGGGGGCUGGGCUGCCAGUUGCACAGACCAGAGUGAGAACUUAUGGUGCUUUUUCUGGGCCCGCCCAUGGCCACCCGUAGACCAAUCAGCACACUCUUCCUCCCCUGUGAAACCCAUAAAAACCCUCAGAGUCACCCAGAAUUGGACAGAUGACAAGACAACCGGACUGCAGGGAGGAGCUACCCAUUCAAGGUCUCCUCUCCAAUGAGGGUUGCAGAGAUGUUGGGGCAAUUUGCCUGCAGAUAGGAGCUACCCACUUGGGAUCUCCUCUCUGCCGAGGACUACACACUUGAUGGGAUGACCUGCUUGUGGAGAAGAGCUACCCACUGUGGGUCUCCUCUCAGCUGAGGGUUGCACAGAUGCCCAGACCACAUGCCUGUGGAAAGGGGAUACCCACUUUGGGUCUCCUGAGAGCUGUACUGCCACUCAAUAAAGCACUGCUUCACCUUGCUCACCCUCCAGUUGUCUGCAUACCUCAUUUUUCCUGGAUAUGGGACAAGAACUUGGGACCAGACAGACAAAUGGCAGGACUAAAAGAGCUGUAACACAAACAGGGCUGUAACCCCCACCCCAACACCACUGGCCACAUUGUGGGUGACGAGAAGGAAAGAAGUAGAGAAGAGCUGCAGUUCUUUGGGGAUUGCAAACCUAGGAGCUCCCUGAGCCAGGGCUGUGAAACCUUCUUUAGGGCUCUGCAUUUCCGGGCAUCAUCUCCAAGCUUCCAGGUGCCACCGCAUUCCCUGGUUCCUGAGGCAGAAGCUACUUGUGAUACACUUGGUCUAGCUACAGCCUUGCAGGGAGCCGGAGCCUGUGCCAGUGCCUGGAGCUGCCCACCCCACCACAGCCAGCGUGCCUGGCCGUGCGCGGUGGCCGGACCCCACUUUUGCUUCUUCACACACCCCUCACCACUCUGCGCUUGGCCCAACCUUGGCAGGCAUGGGAUCCGGGUGGUAGCGAAAGCCGAGUGCAGCCUGUCAGGCCCACUGGGUGGAACAGGCUCAGCAGGCCCAAGCAAAACUUGGGCAAAGGUGCCACUGGCCAUAGAGGUUGCUGGCUGGUGAAGCAACACCCUAAGGAACCUGGGAAACAUGUAUGGCUACAUUUAUAUUUUACACUCAGAAUUCUAAUUCAUUUGGAUUUUUUUUUUUUUCUGUGUAGAGGGAAAAGUGUGAAUCCAUUUUUAUCAUUAUCUAAAUGACUGUUCAGUUGUUCCAACAUGCUUUGAUAAAAUGUCCAUAUUUGUCUCUGUGAUUUGAAAUGACUACCUUUAUCGUGUAGUAAAUUUUACUAUGUUCUUGGCUGUUGUAUUUUCUAUUAUAUUCCACUGGUCUGUUAUUUCUUUACCAGUAUAAAUAACAUGGAUUCAAUUGCAGAAACUUUAUAGUAUGUUUUAAAAUCUGGUGGCACUAUUCCUUUCCUGUUGCUCUUAUUUUUAUGGGUUGUCCUACGUGUUCAUGCAUAUUAUUUUUCACAUGAACAACUCCACAAUAGUUGGAGAAAAAAAAUCUUCCUGGUAUUUUAUUAGAGUUGCAUUAAAUUUAUGCAUAAACUAAGAGAUAAGAGAGACAUAACAUCUUGUUGACAUUGACACAUCAUAAUCAAGAACAAGCAAUGUCAUUUCAUUUUUGCACAUCUUCCUUUUUGUCUUCCAGGAGAUGCUAAUCAUUUUCCUUAUAUAGUUUUUAAAUCGUCUUCCCUUAGUAUUACGUAGAUUGUCAUUAUUUUAAAGGCUAAUUCUGACAGCUUCAUUAUUUGGCAUCUUUGUAUUGUGCAUAUUUUUUCUUGAUUUUAGAUCAUUUGAUCUUGAGUCCUAGUGUGUUGGUUA